rnacentral:rRNA from 1 species
GUUAAGCGACUAAGCGUACACGGUGGAUGCCCUGGCAGUCAGAGGCGAUGAAGGACGUGCUAAUCUGCGAUAAGCGUCGGUAAGGUGAUAUGAACCGUUAUAACCGGCGAUUUCCGAAUGGGGAAACCCAGUGUGUUUCGACACACUAUCAUUAACUGAAUCCAUAGGUUAAUGAGGCGAACCGGGGGAACUGAAACAUCUAAGUACCCCGAGGAAAAGAAAUCAACCGAGAUUCCCCCAGUAGCGGCGAGCGAACGGGGAGCAGCCCAGAGCCUGAAUCAGUGUGUGUGUUAGUGGAAGCGUCUGGAAAGGCGCGCGAUACAGGGUGACAGCCCCGUACACAAAAAUGCACAUGCUGUGAGCUCGAUGAGUAGGGCGGGACACGUGGUAUCCUGUCUGAAUAUGGGGGGACCAUCCUCCAAGGCUAAAUACUCCUGACUGACCGAUAGUGAACCAGUACCGUGAGGGAAAGGCGAAAAGAACCCCGGCGAGGGGAGUGAAAAAGAACCUGAAACCGUGUACGUACAAGCAGUGGGAGCACAGAGCAAUCUGUGUGACUGCGUACCUUUUGUAUAAUGGGUCAGCGACUUAUAUUCUGUAGCAAGGUUAACCGAAUAGGGGAGCCGAAGGGAAACCGAGUCUUAACUGGGCGUUAAGUUGCAGGGUAUAGACCCGAAACCCGGUGAUCUAGCCAUGGGCAGGUUGAAGGUUGGGUAACACUAACUGGAGGACCGAACCGACUAAUGUUGAAAAAUUAGCGGAUGACUUGUGGCUGGGGGUGAAAGGCCAAUCAAACCGGGAGAUAGCUGGUUCUCCCCGAAAGCUAUUUAGGUAGCGCCUCGUGAAUUCAUCUCCGGGGGUAGAGCACUGUUUCGGCAAGGGGGUCAUCCCGACUUACCAACCCGAUGCAAACUGCGAAUACCGGAGAAUGUUAUCACGGGAGACACACGGCGGGUGCUAACGUCCGUCGUGAAGAGGGAAACAACCCAGACCGCCAGCUAAGGUCCCAAAGUCAUGGUUAAGUGGGAAACGAUGUGGGAAGGCCCAGACAGCCAGGAUGUUGGCUUAGAAGCAGCCAUCAUUUAAAGAAAGCGUAAUAGCUCACUGGUCGAGUCGGCCUGCGCGGAAGAUGUAACGGGGCUAAACCAUGCACCGAAGCUGCGGCAGCGACGCUUAUGCGUUGUUGGGUAGGGGAGCGUUCUGUAAGCCUGUGAAGGUGUGCUGUGAGGCAUGCUGGAGGUAUCAGAAGUGCGAAUGCUGACAUAAGUAACGAUAAAGCGGGUGAAAAGCCCGCUCGCCGGAAGACCAAGGGUUCCUGUCCAACGUUAAUCGGGGCAGGGUGAGUCGACCCCUAAGGCGAGGCCGAAAGGCGUAGUCGAUGGGAAACAGGUUAAUAUUCCUGUACUUGGUGUUACUGCGAAGGGGGGACGGAGAAGGCUAUGUUGGCCGGGCGACGGUUGUCCCGGUUUAAGCGUGUAGGCUGGU